GUCCAAAGUGUAGUUGUCAACACUGCACAAGAGUUGAGUACUGAAAAGGAGUUGGUGACUGACAUAACAAAUAAAGAAAAUGUGAUGGAAGCUACAAGAAAGCCAAAGGUGUAUGGAAGCUUUGAAGCUCUGCAGAACAGGUAAAAUUUCCAGUAUGAUUACAAACUGUUCUAAAGUGUAGUUCUGCAACAAUCAGGAAAUGAGAGCUGUCAGAUUGUUUCCUUUUUGUACAUGUGUAAGAUGACCUGAUGAUAUUUUUGUCAUUUCUGUUUGACAUAUCGGAUUCGUGCUGCUUUU
rnacentral:lncRNA from 13 species